UACAGAGGGUGCAAGCGUUAAUCGGAAUUACUGGGCGUAAAGCGUGCGUAGGUGGCUUUUUAAGCUGGAUGUGAAAUCCCCGGGCUUAACCUGGGAACUGCAUUCAGGACUGGAAAGCUCGAGUCUGGGAGAGGGUGGUGGAAUUUCCGGUGUAGCGGUGAAAUGCGUAGAUAUCGGAAGGAACAUCAGUGGCGAAGGCGACCGCCUGGCCUAAGACUGACACUGAGGCACGAAAGCGUGGGGAGCAAACAGG
rnacentral:rRNA from 1 species